CCUACGGGAGGCAGCAGUGAGGAAUAUUGGUCAAUGGGCGCGAGCCUGAACCAGCCAAGUAGCGUGAAGGAUGACUGCCCUACUGGUUGUAAACUUCUUUUAUAAAGGAAUAAAGUGAGGCACGUGUGCCUUUUUGUAUGUACUUUAUGAAUAAGGAUCGGCUAACUCCGUGACAGCAGCCGGGGUAAUACGGAGGAUCCGGGCGUUUUCCCGAUUUAUUGGGGUUAAAGGGGGCGUUGUUGGGUUGUUAAGUCAGGUGGGAAAGUUGGCGGGUCAAACGUAAAAUUGCAAUUGAUACUGGCAGUCUUGAGUACAGUUGAGGUAGGCGGAAUUCGUGGUGUAGCGGUGAAAUGCUUAGAUAUCACGCAGAACUCCGAUUGCGAAGGCAGCUUACUAAACUGCAACUGACAUUGAUGCUCGAAAGUGUGGGUAUCAAACAGGAUUAGAUACCCCUGUAGUC
rnacentral:rRNA from 1 species